rnacentral:piRNA from 1 species
UUUCUGUAGAGAAGAUGUGAGAUAG